rnacentral:misc_RNA from 1 species
GAUUCCGAGCUUCGAGAAUCCGCCUAUGAGAUUCUAAUUGGGGCUUGCCGGAGUUCCGGAAGCAGGCCCUUGACUUAUAUCCCCCAGUCAGAGAGGAACGCUGAUAGGGCUUCGGCUCCUGCUCUGACGCCGUCGCCUUCUCUGCAGCGGUCGUUGACGUCAACGGCCGCCAGUAAAGUCAAGAAGGCGCUGGGGAUGAAGUCGGGUUCGACGAAGAGGAGAAGCGAUGGUGGUGAGUCAGUGAUUGAAGGGAAGGCCAAGAAAACGAUGACUGUUGGAGAGUUGGUUAGAGUUCAGAUGAGGGUAUCUGAGCAGACCGAUUCGAGGAUUAGGCGAGCGUUGUUGAGGAUUGCUGCUGGUCAGGUUUGUGUGUGGGUUUAAAUAUAUGAUGUUUGGCUUAGAGAUAUUGUCCUACUGAAUUGAAUUCCUCCCGUUUCCCAGGUUUAGCAAGCUGGCUGAGGUAUACGAAAUUGUGUGAUUGCUUGAAUCUUUUCUUUCGUUGUGCCCAAAUCCUUAAUUAUGGAGUCUCACUAUCUAAUUUUGUCAAUUUUUUUAAGCAAUAUUUGCUUGCUGAGGAAACAGUGAAAAAGGAAAAGAAAAGAGUUUUUUUUUUGUCCCAUGAAAACUGGGAAUUGACCUAAAGCUUGGAAUGCAACUGCUGGCAAGGGUUAAUGUCCUGGGAUCAUAUCCCCUUCCCAGCAUUUCCCUCCCUUAUGAAUCGGGAGCAUUGUGGUUGUAGUAAAUUUGAAAUUUGGUAGGGAAAGAUAGCAAAUAACAUCUUAGUUCAAUUGAAAUCAAAUGCGAUUUUGUUAAUUUCCAUAAGGAUUAUGCUAUUAUUGAUUUUUAUGAAUUGUGGCAAAAAUUUUAAGCUUUCGGUCAAUAACAUUUUUGCUUAGUAUGAUUCUCUAAUUGAAUAUGGACAAUUAUUGAGCUUCUGUUUAUGCACUUGUGUCAGCUUGGAAGGCGCAUAGAGUCAAUGGUUCUGCCACUGGAGCUAUUGCAGCAGCUCAAGUCUUUGGAUUUUCCCAGUCGACAAGAAUAUGAAGCUUGGCAGAGGAGAAAUUUGAAGCUUCUAGAAGCUGGACUGCUUUUGCAUCCUCACUUGCCACUGGAUAAGACUGACAGAGCUCCUCGACAGCUCCAGCAGAUUAUUCGUGGGACAUUAGAAAAACCCAUUGAAACUGGAAAAAACAGUGAAUCUAUGCAAGAUCUCCGAAGUUUAGUUAUGUCUCUUGCUUGCAGAUCAUUUGACGGAUCAGUUACUGAAAAAUGCCACUGGGCAGAUGGGUUUCCCUUAAAUUUGAGACUCUACCAAAUACUCUUAGAAGCUUGUUUUGAUGUUAAUGAUGAAUCAAUUGUUAUUGAAGAAAUUGAUGAGGUUUUAGAACUCAUAAAGAAGACUUGGGUAGUCCUUGGAAUGAACCAGAUGUUGCAUAAUCUCUGUUUUUUGUGGGUUUUAUUUCACCACUAUGUUGCAACUGGCCAAGUUGAGGAUGACCUAUUGUUUGCUGCCAAUAAUCUGUUGAUGGUAGUUGAAAAAGAUGCAAAGACAAGUAAGGACUCGGAUUAUUCCAAGAUUUUGAGUUCCAUAUUAAGUUCUAUAUUGGAUUGGGCAGAGAAAAGGCUUCUCUCUUACCAUGAUAGUUUUCAUAGUGAUAAUAUAGAAUCCAUGCAAAUCGUUGCUUCUGUGGCUGUUGUGGCAGCAAAUAUACUGGUAGAAGAUAUCUCCCAUGAGUAUCGUAGGAAAAGGAAAGAAGUUGAUAUAGCCCGUGAUAGGAUUGAAACUUACAUUAGAUCAUCACUGCGAGCAGCUUUUUGUCAGAAAUUGGAAAAGUUUAACUCAAGCAAGCAUUUGAGACACCAGCAGAAUCCCCUUCCUGUCCUGUCCAUCCUUGCACAAGACAUUUGUGAACUGGCUUUUAACGAGAAGGCAAUAUUUAGUCCAAUACUUAAGAGAUGGCAUCCUCUCGCAGCAGGUGUAGCAGUAGCCACCCUUCAUUCUUGCUAUGGGAAUGAACUCAAGCAAUUUGUUUCGGGUAUUAGUGAAUUGACACCUGAUGCAAUACAAGUGCUGAGUGCUGCUGACAAAUUGGAGAAAGAUCUUGUGCAGAUUGCAGUUGGAGAUUCUGUGGACAGUGAGGAUGGUGGAAAGUCAAUAAUUCAAGCGAUGCCUCCUUAUGAGGCUGAAGCUUUAAUCGCCAAUCUUGUUAAGUCAUGGAUAAGGACAAGAAUUGACAGGCUGAAGGAAUGGGUAGAUAGGAAUUUGCAACAAGAGGUAUGGAAUCCACGGGCAAACAAAGAGCGAUUUGCUCCUUCUGCCGUUGAAGUUUUACGAAUUGUAGAUGAAACUUUGGAGGCAUUCUUCCUGUUGCCAAUACCUAUGCAUCCGACCUUGCUUCCUGACUUGAUCACUGGGCUUGACAGAUGUCUUCAAAAUUAUGUAUUGAAGACUAAAUCUGGCUGUGGGGCCCGAAGUACUUUCACACCUACUAUGCCUGCAUUGACUAGAUGUACAGCAGGAUCAAAAUUUCAUGUAUUUAAAAAGAAGGAGAAGUCUCGUGUAGCCCAGCGAAGGAAAUCUCAGGUUGGAUCUACUAAUGGGGAUGCCUCCAGUGGGGUACCCCAGCUAUGUGUACGUAUUAAUACUUUGCAGCAUGUUCGCAUGCAAUUGGAAGUUUUGGAAAAGAAGACAGUUGUUCAACUGAGGAAUUCUAAAUCAAGUUAUGUGGAUGAUUUUGCUAAUGGAUUGGGGAAAAAGUUUGAGCUUUCAGCAGCUGCAUGUGUUGAAGGGAUCCAACAACUCUGUGAGGCAACAGCAUAUAAGGUUGUCUUCCAUGACCUAAGUCAUGUUCUUUGGGAUGGACUAUAUGUUGGAGAAGUUUCAUCUUCGAGGAUUGAGCCUUUUCUUCAGGAACUUGAGCAGUAUUUGGAAAUUAUUUCAUCUACAGUGCAUGACAGGGUUAGAACACGCGUUAUCACUGAUGUGAUGAAAGCAUCCUUUGAAGGGUUUCUGCUGGUUUUGCUUGCUGGAGGUCCUUCUCGGGCUUUCACUCUGCAGGAUUCUGAAAUGAUUGAGGAUGAUUUUAAAUUUCUCACAGAUCUGUUCUGGUCUAAUGGUGAUGGAUUGCCAACUGAGUUAAUAGAUAAGUUUUCAACAACAGUUAAAGGUGUCCUCCCCCUAUUUCGUACUGACACUGAGAGUCUAGUUGAGCUAUUCAGAAGUCUUACUCUGGAGAGUUACGGCUCUUCUGGUAAAUCCAGGUUUCCAUUGCCUCCGACUUCAGGCCAGUGGAAUCCUACUGAACCAAAUACACUAUUGCGAGUUUUGUGUUAUCGGAGUGAUGAAACUGCUGCAAAGUUCCUGAAGAAGACUUACAACUUGCCUAAGAAACUAUAACCACCAUUGAUAUAUGGAGGGCGGCAAAAUAUUGCGAUUCUCAGGUGAAGAAGUGCUGUGAAACGAUUGUUGUGGCUUUGGUAGUAUGUAUUUUAUCUUGGCAUCGUAGGCUCCAAUGACACGGUUUUGUUUGGGGGAGCAUUUAUUGGAGUGACUGUACCCAUAGAUUGGAUAAUUUACUAAUUAUUUGGUGCUAAGCAAGGAGUCCUCCAUUGAGAUGGCACAAUGAGAGAUUUGAUCUACAUGGUAAGACUGGCUUGGCUUUUUUUCUUUUUUUCUUUUUUUUAAUAAAAAAAAUCUUAUACUCAUCCUCGUACAUCUUUCGCUGUGGAAACUGACUGCUGGGAACAAAGAUAAAUAUUUAAUAAUUAAUUGUGAUAAAUUUGAGAGCUGUGUGAUAAAUUUGAGAGAUGUUGUUUUCGAGUUUCUAGAUUGACAGAUUGAGCAGAAAUUGUAUCUUCUAGUUUUGUUUCAAAGGAUCAAAUUAAGUCUUCUAUUUAUAGCCUAAUCGUUCAUGGGAAUAUAAUCUGACGUUGUGAUGCUUCUUGAUAUCAUCGUGCAUUAUUAAAUUUCAUAUUGGAGGCUCAUAUCAUCUGAUUUGUUGUAAAGUAAGGUGUUCAUUGGUCAUUCGACUUGCCUUGUGAAAAAACUAGCUAGCACUUCAUUGAUGGAAGCAGCUUUAGCUUUGGAUUCAAUGCAUGAAAGUAGCUAAGAGUCUCUCUCUCUCUCUCUGGGCUUUGCCAGUUGGUAGCUGCUGGCCAUCAAUGAUGUUCAUCAUAAGCGAAACCUGUAAUAAAGAUUGGUUGUUAUAGACUGGUUUUGUAAUUUGUAAACUCUAAUCCAUUAAAGGGACAAAACUUUGUCCUCUUGAUGCAGGAUUUUGACUUAAAAAUCGGAUCACUUGUUAAAGGAUUAUGAUCGCUUUACGGAUUAAGUGCCACAGAUGCAGUUGUAAGUUCUAGCCCAUCCAUCCUCACUUUAACAUAUCAGACAAAAUGGAUAUCCACUACCCAUUUUGAUGAAAUUUAUCCCUUUUUAUUUCUUUUGCCAUUAUAAUCCAUUCAAUUGCGCCAUUUAUCAUUGGCUUAAUUGUUUCUUGAGAUGAAAUCUUC